rnacentral:lncRNA from 1 species
CCCGGCUGCAGAUUGGAGAGGAUUUUUAAGACGUUUGUGGAGUUUCCUAUCCUGGCUCCUCGGACAUUACCUUGUGACUAUACGUAUUUUCACACUGGCUACUUGGUUUCCAAACCUGACUGAUGACCAGAAUUAGAACUACAAUUUAUGUAAAAGGGUUUCAUCAAUAAAUCACAUCAAUAAUUUGGUUUAAUAAAUGGGCAACCUUGGAAUGAACAGGAGACCCAGACAACAGGAGGUCCAGACAGCUGUGGGAUGCACU